UAACACACAAAUGAAAAGGAAUCCCUUUCUUAUUGUGGCUUCAAACCAAAGCCAUCCCUUUCACCCUUUUUCUCCUUCCUCAAAACCCACAUAUAAAAUCCUUUCUCCAACUUUUUUCUUCCUUCUUCCUCAACAACACACUCCACCUUGUAUAUCACCAUUUCAUUUCAUCCAUAAUAUGUCUCUCACAGGCCGGCCUCGUGUUGUAGUCAAUGGUGUUCGAAGAAUGAGAACCUUCCAUUAUUUCUGGUGUCUCAAUUGCCAACGUACUGUCAGAAUACCCUCAACAAAUACUAUAACACAUGGCUCUUUUUGCCCAUAUUGCUUCCAUCAAUUGCGUUAUGAACUUGAUAUCUCACGGCCAAGGCUUCUCAUGAAUGUGACUAACAAUAACAUGGAGUCUCCUCCUUCUACUAAUCAAUUAAUGGGUAACUUAGCUUUCAUUCUUGAUCCAUCUCUCAGGAGACAAGAUCAAAACAACAUAACACCACAAUGGGAAACAGAACAUGAAGAUGAUCAAAACCAAAAUCAAAAUCCACAAGCAUGGAUUACACUCCGAUUUGUAAGACCAACUCGUCCACCAAGGCCUAUUGCACCACCGCCACAACCACAAAACUUGGCACCCCAACCCAAUGACAAUGACGCUCCUUCGUUAGACGAGUUCUUUGAUGGGAUGAUUCACAACAACAGCAGACCAGGGCCACCUCCCGCAUCACCUUCCGCCAUUGAAGCCUUGCCAAUGGUGAAAGUGACAGAAUCCCAUUUGACAAGUGACCCGAAUUGUCCAAUAUGCAAAGAUGAGUUUGAGGUUGAUGUGGAAGUGAGAGAGUUACCAUGCAAACAUUUCUACCAUUCUGACUGCAUUCUACCUUGGCUUCGCAUGCACAACACUUGCCCCGUAUGCCGCCAUGAGAUACAAGGGAUUGAUAAUAGUAAUGCUAGUUACUACUUUUCCCAUAAUGAGAAUGAGCAACAUGGGUUCAUUGGGUUUGAGGAAUUUACAAGCAGCAUUAAAUGGAUCUGGAGCCAACUUGCUUUGUUUAGACCUAUUCGUGCAGUUCUAGAUUGGACGCGGUCCUAUUUUGAAUUCCAUGCCCGUGCUCAUAGUAGAAGUAGCUCUUGGUGGCGGGCAUUGCUCAUUUCGUAGAUUCGUCUAUGAAAUCUCACACUGAAGCAUGGUUUUUCAUGUUGGGAUUAUUCCAUUGCUUAUGGUAAUUCAUUUGCUCCACUAUUGAGGGGUAUACUAUCAAAUUGUGUGAUGCACAUUAUAGUUCCCACUAAAUUUGGUGGCUAUGAGAGUGUGCAUCUCACAUGAAAUCAAUUACACUGUAUAUAUGAUAAUGUGCAUAAAUAUAUAUUCAAAGAUUGUUUUUCCUAUAUUGUUAUUAAGGCAUAUAUCCCCUACAUUUUGUAGUGUUUUUAUUUUCUUCUAAAUCUAGUUUCUUCUGUAAGUUUUUUAUUGGAUUUGCUUGUAAACUUUAUUCUGUUUUUGUUUCUUUUGUAAGAAAACUUGAAAUUUCUUUAACUCUUUAGUUUUAAAUACAAAAGAUGAAGAAAAAAAAAGAACAAGAAAACAUGCAGAAUAGCAAUGUAGCAGAAGUAGUAUCAUGAUUUGAUUAGUGAAGAAGUUUGUGUGUGAAAUUGGAAAGAGUGCGGUAAAUUUCGAUGUGCCCCAGCCAACCAUCGCCAAUGCCGCUUACCUCCAUUGCACCAGUCACCAUCUCUGCCUUGAGGUUCUUCACUCCUGUUUCAAGGUUGUAGGAUUAUAAUCCAUAUUGGCAUUAAAUUUGACAAUUGGGGACAUGUAAGUAUAACAUUGCCUUAAUACAUUUACCAGUUCUUUCUUCAAUCAAGAGCGAUUGUUUGUAAGUCAACCAUUGUAUCAACGAUUAAUUUUCUUAU